UUUAUCACCAGCCAUAUUUGCUGAUAAAAAAAAAAACAUUUAUUUCCAAUAAGCUAGUUACCUAAUUAAUUAUGGGACCAAUUAGCUUGUAUAUGCUGAAGUAUAUACAAGGCAUACAUCUCAAACUGUGAAAGAGUACUGUGGGGGAGCUCCACCUUGUUGGAAAUACAAAUGAAAUACAUUUAAAAUAGUUUGUGAUACCAUUUGAAAUAAUGUAUGAGGCAACCAUUUGACCUACCAAAUUUCAAGUUGAUAAAAUGUCUUAUUACUACACAUUUUUGCCUUCUAGUUCCUUAUACAUCAAUAUUUUUGAUUUUUAUAGGAGUUAUUUAAGCAACAAACUAACAUAAAACUAAUAAAAAACAGUAGGACAAGCAAUUAUUAAUAACAGCAACUAUUAUUGGUUUUAAAUUUAAAAAUAAGAUAAGCACCAGUUAUCAGAAAAUAAAUACAAAAGGAGUAAAUAGUUGACAUACCACAAAUAUGUCAUUAAACCUCAAAUAUGUAAUUGAACUAGUUACAGAUUGAUCCUGAACAAGUAACAAAACAUCUGCGAACAGCAAGAUUUCAAACUAGAAGUUCAGGACUGGUCACUGUGAACACUCUUUUUAACAAUGUGCAUUUGGAGCGAGAAAAGAUUACUUACCCCGUCGCUUUGAAGCCGUUUUCUCAUUAAAAACAGGAAUAAGAAGCCGGAAUUCCUUGAAAAUGAGAAUUAAAAGUGCUAAAACUUCAGAAAAACAUCAAACAUAAAGCCAACGUUUAGCUAUCUUCUCCUGUCAAAAUGGACCGGGCGAACUGCUGACUUGCUGUCUGUCAAGUGUCAAAACUGCUCGCAUCUGCCGACAAAGUGAUGAUCAAGUUUUGUGGUAAGCUUGGCAAAAGCUGGAGUGACUUGUUCCUUAAUACAGUUGUUGAGAAACCAGAUAUCCACACCUAUGGUUGCUCUUUUAACUUUUAAAUCUUUUACACGCUUAUUUAAACUGUCCAAACCAUUCAUUUUGGCAUUUACUUUAUUUUUUUAAAUAAAGCACAUUAUUGGGAACAACCACUUUUGAAAUGCAUUUUUUUUUUCAAUAAUUUGAUAUCAUUAUCUUUUAAAUCAGUUGACAAAUAAGCCCAUAAGAAGAAUAAG
rnacentral:lncRNA from 1 species